UGACCUGCUAAAGUAAUGGCAGUGUUUUGUUUUGUCUUACAGGAUGUCAUAUUUGUUGCAGACACAGCAAAUGCAAUAUCGAUGUCACUUGAAGACAAGUCUCUGAAUGUUCGAGCCAAAGCAGCCUGGUCCCUGGGCAACCUGACAGACACUCUGAUUGUCAACAUGGAAACACCAGACCCAAGUUUCCAGGAAGAGUUCUCUGGUCUCCUGCUCUUGAAAAUGUUACGAUCAGCUAUAGAAGCAUCCAAGGAUAAAGACAAGGUAAAGAGCAAUGCAGUCCGGGCCCUUGGAAAUUUGCUUCCUUUUCUGCAACCCUCUCAUAUAGAAAAACCCACAUUUGCAGAAAUAAUUGAGGAGUCUAUCCAGGCCCUAAUCUCUACUGUUCUAACAGAAGCUGCCAUGAGAGUCUGAUGGAAUGCUUGUUAUGCAAUGGGAAAUGUAUUUAAAAAUCCUGCCCUUCCAUUAGGGACAGCCCCAUGGACUCCCAGGCUAUAGUGCCCUGACAUCGGUCGUGACAUCGUGCAAGAACUUCAAAGUGCGCAUCAGAUCUGCCGCUGCCCUUUCCGUCCCGGGGAAGAGAGAGCAGUAUGGGUCUGUUGAACAGUAUGCUCGGAUCUGGAAUGCAUUGGUCACCGCCUUACAGAAGAGCGAAGACACCACCGACUUUUUGGAAUUCAAGUACUGUGCCAGCCUGCGGACCCAAAUCUGCCAGGCACUGAUUCACCUCUUGAGCUUGGCCAGUGCCUCAGACCUCCCUUGUAUCAAAGAAAUCCUUGAACUGAAUGGGAAUAUGGUCCAGUCCUAUAUCCUACAGUUUUUAAAAUCUGGAGCAGAGGGAGAUGACACUGGAGCACCUCACAGCCCACAGGAAACAGACCAGAUGGUCAGAAUGGCCCUUAAGCACAUGGGCAGCAUCCAGGCACCAGCUGGAGACACAGCCAGAAGGGCCAUCAUGGGCUUUUUAGAAGAGAUCCUGGCCAUUUGUUUUGACUCAUCUGGAUCACAAGGGGCACUCCCAGGGUUAACCAAUCAGUGAGGAUCCCACCAUACUUUCUAGGUAUCGAAGGUAGCAGUAGGAAGACCUGAGCUUGAGCAUAAGAUCUGUGGGAUUUCAUCCUAGGAGCAGAAACAAUCCAUUCACUAUUCAUUUAGAAUGACUUAGCAGCAAUUUAAAUUUUCACAGAGGGCUCAACCACCUUUGGAGUGGCUCCAUGACACUGGCCAUGGUCAGGGUUGUUGGAACGUCUGACCUGUGCAUUCAGGAGCCGAGGAGUCAGGUUGUAAUAUGAGCUAAGCAGACAGGGCUUUGAGGGCAUUUAGUCUCAGAAAAAAAAAAAGUAGAAGGAUUUAGGAAUUAGAAUUUUAUAUAUUGUAUCUGUAGUUUUGUAAUAAACUAAAGAAGAAUUA